GGAACUGCCUAGCAGCUCCUUUUUUGUACAUUAUCGUAUCAUUUAAAUCCGUGUUUCGCGUUGUUCUUGCAAAUUCGUGAUGUCUGCCACGAUUUCGUAGGAACGAAGCCGUGCUUGGUGAUCAAAAAUUGAGGCAUUGAUCAUGAUUUCGUCGGCCUGGGUAUCAUCUAAAAAAUUCUGCAGCUUUUCUUUCACAGUCUCAGGGUUGCCAAUGAUGGAAGAACCUAAUUGCUGUUCGACGGCUUCUUUUUCAUAUUCGUUCCAAAGAGCAUCUAUAUUGUCAACAGGAGGCUGCAGCGGUACAUUAUGAUUCCGAACCAAGUUUAGGAAUUGCUGCUGCAUUGUAGUUGCCAGAUAGCGUGCUUCUUCAUCCGUUUCUGCAGCAAUAACGUUCACUGCGACCAUUGCAUACGGCUUAUCAAGCACUUUUGAAGGCUUGAAAUAUUGGCGGUAUAACUGCAGUGCCACCAGUGUAUUGUUAGGUGAGAAGUGGCUUGCGAAAGCAAAUGGCAGUCCGAGCAUGCCGGCAAGUUGUGCGCUGUAUCCGCUUGAGCCCAAUAACCAAAUUGGAAUGUUCAAGCCCUCGCCCGGGACUGCUCUUACAUGCAUUCUUCCUGAAGCUAAAGACGGAUCAAAAUAGGCGCGAAGUUCAGCUAGUUGCUCAGGGAAAUCCUCGCCAUGGCUUCUAAGGUCGCGUCUUAGAGCAUGAGCGGUAAGCUGAUCUGUACCGGGUGCGCGGCCAAGACCAAGAUCAAUUCGGCCUGGAAACAGAGAUUCGAGAGUUCCGAACUGUUCAGCAAUGACCAGCGGAGCAUGGUUAGGCAGCAUGAUUCCGCCUGAACCUACUCGGAUUUUUGAAGUACCUUGAGCCACAUGACAAAUGACAACAGAUGUUGCAGAACUGGCUACGGCAGAAAUAUUAUGGUGUUCUGCCAGCCAAUAUCGGUGAUAUCCCCACUUUUCCGCAUGUUGAGCUAGAUCUAGUGUAUUUCGAAAAGAAUCGGAUGGCGUACCACCUUCUACAAUCGGAGAAAGAUCA
rnacentral:antisense_RNA from 1 species